AUGGCCUUCAGGGACCUCCGGCGGCAGAAGUGCUUGUUCGGGCGCGCCGGGACCCAGCGGGACCAGGGAGCGACCCUCUUGCUGCGGUCACCCCCGGGGGCGCCCUGCCCGGAGGCCUCUGCUCGCCCGUGGACGCGGCCAGGCGGGUCCCAUGAGGGGGACUCUUUUGGUAACCAAGUCACUCCGCUUGGGUCGCGGGGCCAAUGCAAUGAGUGUGCGCUGGCACCCGGCAGUCGGGGAGGGGGCGAGGAGUCGGCCAGGGGUCGCCGAUUCCGCUCCUGGCGUUGGCGCGUCUGCGGGCGGCGCAGGGCGGUUGCGGCCAGGGAGGAGUGGCGGCGGAGGCAGGGCGGGGCGGGCGCCGCCUGUGGAGAGCACUGGGAGGUCAGGCGUGGGGCCGCGGCUCAGAUUUCUCCGUGGACAAUGGCAGCCACGAUUCAGGCCAUGGAGAGGAAGAUUGAAUCACAGGCUGUUCGCCUGCUUUCCUUAGAAGGUCGAACCGGAAUGGCUGAGAAGAAGCUGGCCGACUGCGAGAAGACAGCCGUGGAGUUCGGGAACCAGCUGAGGGCAAAGCCGUGUGGUAGUACGAGCUGCUGCAGAGGCAGCUGGAGCCCAGCAGGAACUUCUGGAUCCUGCGACUGCACCCAGGAAGCAAGGGGCAGGCCCCCAAGGUGCCCGUGACCUUUGAUGAUGUGGCCGUGUAUUUCUCCGAGCAGGAGUGGGGCAAGCUGGAGGACUGGCAGAAGGAACUCUACAAGCAUGUGAUGAGGGGCAACCACGAGAUGCUGGUCUCCCUGGACUACACCAUCUCCAAGCCCGAGGUCCUCUCCCAGAUUGAACAAGGGAAGGAGCCCUGCAGCUGGCGCCGCCCCGGCCCCAAGAUUCCAGAUGUUCCUGUGGACCCCAGUCCAGGAGCUACUACAUAAACACACGAGGAAAGCCAAGAGAAUUCACAAGCCCAUUGAAGGAACUGAAUUCAUGCUGCAGACUUCCUGAGAUGCCAAAAAACUGUGUACUCUCCGUCCAUUUGACCCAAUGACUUAGAGCUGCCCUGGAAUUUUUCUUUUUUUGAGACAGCAUCUUGCUCU